UACGUAGGGAGCAAGCGUUGUCCGGAAUCAUUGGGCGUAAAGCGCGCGUAGGCGGCCCGAUAAGUCCGUUGUGAAAGUCAAAGGCUUAACCUUUGAAUGCCGAUGGAUACUGUCGGGCUAGAGUCCGGAAGAGGCGAGUGGAAUUCCUGGUGUAGCGGUGGAAUGCGCAGAUAUCAGGAGGAACACCAAUAGCGAAGGCAGCUCGCUGGGACGGUACUGACGCUAAGGCGCGAAAGCGUGGGGAGCGAACAGG
rnacentral:rRNA from 1 species